rnacentral:rRNA from 1 species
UACGGGGGGGGGCAAGCGUUGUUCGGAAUUACUGGGCGUAAAGCGCGCGUAGGCGGCUUUUCAAGUCAGACGUGAAAUCCUUAGGCUUAACCUGAGAACUGCGUUUGAAACUACGAGGCUCGAGUGUGUCAGAGGGGGGUGGGAAUUCCACGUGUAGCAGUGAAAUGCGUAGAGAUGUGGAGGAACACCAAUGGCGAAGGCAGCCCCCUGGGAUAACACUGACGCUCAUGCACGAAAGCGUGGGGAGCAAACAGG